ACCCGCUGAACUUAAGCAUAUCACUAAGCGGAGGACAAGAAACUAACAAGGAUUCCCCUAGUAACGGCGAGCGAACCGGGAAUAGCCCAGUGUGAAAAUCCGCAGCCUUUGGCUGCUGAAUUGUAGUCUGGAGAAUCGUCCUCCGAGCCGAGCUGUGCCCAAGUUCCCUGGAAAGGGACGUCGAAGAGGGUGAGAACCCCGUCGGCGCAGUUGCCGGCUCUCCACGAGGCGGUUUCGCAGAGUCGGGUUGUUUGGGAAUGCAGCCCAAAGUAGGUGGUAAAUCCCAUCUAAGGCUAAAUACUGACGGGAGACCGAUAGCGAACAAGUACCGUGAGGGAAAGAUGAAAAGAACUUUGAAAAGAGAGUCAAAAAGUGCUUGAAAUUGUUGAGAGGGAAGGCAUGUCAAGGUAGUGUGUCUCUGGGCUUAUGCUUGCCGCAAGGCCAGCUGUAUGUGCCAGGGACUGGUCAAGUUGGAUUGCCGGGACUGUAUAAGCUUCUCCUUUGUUGGUGAAUCCUGCAGUCUUGGUGUUCGAGGAGUCAGGGCGCCCCGGUCUUAUGAUCUGCGUUCCGACGAACUUGACGGAAGCCUUGUC
rnacentral:rRNA from 1 species